ACUGCUUGCAUUUGUCUUGCUAUAUAUUGUUCAAUAUUCCAACAUUCUGUAAUUCUGAUUACCCAGUGACAUACAUACUUUGUAAAAGGGCAUAGUUUUUUUGUUUAGUUGCAAGUUUUUUUUUAUAGUACUUGAUCCUGUUUAUAGUACUGUACCACCACUCCAUGGCCUUAACAGUGCCCAUGUUGAUGCAAAAGGCUGCUAUAAUACAAUAUUUUGCAUAUUAGAUUAGAUGUAGACAUAUUUAUCUAUAUAUGUUGAUAUAAUAACUAGAAGAGCU